GCAAGUCGAGCGGUAACAGAGAGUAGCUUGCUACUUUGCUGACGAGCGGCGGACGGGUGAGUAAUGCUUGGGAAUAUGCCUUUUGGUGGGGGACAACAGUUGGAAACGACUGCUAAUACCGCAUGAUGUCUACGGACCAAAGUGGGGGACCUUCGGGCCUCACGCCAAAAGAUUAGCCCAAGUGGGAUUAGCUAGUAGGUAAGGUAACGGCUUACCUAGGCAACGAUAGAUAGGGGCCCUGAGAGGGGGAUC
rnacentral:rRNA from 1 species